GGAAGGAUCAUUACAGAAUAAACCUGAUGGAUUGCUGCUGGCUUUCUUGAAGCAAUGUGCACAUCUGUCAUUUUUAUAUUUCCACCUGUGCACCUAUGUAGACUUGGAUGUUUUUUUCCAUAAGCGCCCAUUCAUUUGAGCACUUUUGGGCUUUGAAGAUUGCUAUUUUUAUAGCUUUCCUCACAUUUCCAAGUCUAUGUUCCACAUUUUUAAACCCCAAAGAAUAUAUCAGAAUGAAAAUCUGGCUUUUAUAGCCAAUAAAACAUAUACAACUUUCAGCAACGGAUCUCUUGGCUCUCGCAUCGAUGAAGAACGCAGCGAAAUGCGAUAAGUAAUGUGAAUUGCAGAAUUCAGUGAAUCAUCGAAUCUUUGAACGCACCUUGCGCUCCUUGGUAUUCCGAGGAGCAUGCCUGUUUGAGUGUCAUUAUAUUAUCAACCUCUCCUUGAUUUUUCUAAUCUUAGAGAAUGUUGGAUUUGGCGGUUUGCAUGUGCUUCUUGUACUUGCUCCUCUUAAAUGUAUUAGCUGGAAUGUCUCCUCAGACUGCCCCAUGGUGUGAUAAUUAUCUGCGCCAUAGUACAGACUGACUUGUGUUGGGACUCUGCUUCUAAGUGUCCUUUGGACAAAGACACCUAGUGUGUUUUUAUGACAACUUGACCUCAAAUCAGGUAGGACUACCCGCUGAACUUAAGCAUAUCAAUAAGCGGAGGAAAAGAAACUAACAAGGAUUCCCCUAGUAACUGCGAGUGAAGCGGGAAAAGCUCAAAUUUAAAAUCUGGCAGACAUUUUGGAUGCCCGAGUUGUAAUCUAGAGAAGUGUUAUCCGUGUUGGACCAUGUAAAAGUCUUCUGGAAUGGAGCAUCAUAGAGGGUGAGAAUCCCGUCUUUGACAUGGACUACCAAUGCAUUGUGAUGCGCUCUCAAAGAGUCGAGUUGUUUGGGAAUGCAGCUCAAAAUGGGUGGUAAAUUCCAUCUAAAGCUAAAUAUUGGCGAGAGACCGAUAGCGAACAAGUACCGUGAGGGAAAGAUGAAAAGAACUUUGGAAAGAGAGUUAAAAAGUACGUGAAAUUGCUGAAAGGGAAACGCUUGAAGUCAGUCACGUUAGCCAGAAAUCAACCUUGCUUUUGCUGGGCGUACUUUCUGGUUGAUGGGUCAGCAUCAAUUUUGACCGUUGGAAAAAGUUCAGAGGAAUGUGGCAUCUUCGGAUGUGUUAUAGCCUCUGUCCGUAUACAACGGUUGGGAUUGAGGAACUCAGCACGCCGCAAGGCCGGGUCUCGACCACGUUCGUGCUUAGGAUGCUGGCAUAAUGGCUUUAAUCGACCCGUCUUGAAACACGGACCAAGGAGUCUAACAUACCUGCAAGUAUUUGGGUGGAAAACCCAAGUGCGCAAUGAAAGUGAAAGUUGAGAUCCCUGUCGUGGGGAGCAUUGACGCCCGGACCAAACCUUUUGUGACGGAUCCGCGGUAGAGCAUGUAUGUUGGGACCCGAAAGAUGGUGAACUAUGCCUGAAUAGGGUGAAGCCAGAGGAAACUCUGGUGGAGGCUCGUAGCGAUUCUGACGUGCAAAUCGAUCGUCAAAUUUGGGUAUAGGGGCGAAAGACUAAUCGAACCAUCUAGUAGCUGGUUCCUGC
rnacentral:misc_RNA from 1 species